rnacentral:rRNA from 1 species
GGUUAAGCGACUAAGCGUACACGGUGGAUGCCCGGCAGUCAGAGGCGAUGAAGGACGUGCUAAUCUGCGAAAAGCGUCGGUAAGGUGAUAUGAACCGUUAUAACCGGCGAUGUCCGAAUGGGGAAACCCAGUGCAAUUCGUUGCACUAUCGUUAACUGAAUACAUAGGUUAACGAGGCGAACCGGGGAACUGAAACAUCUAAGUACCCCGAGGAAAAGAAAUCAACCGAGAUUCCCCAGUAGCGGCGAGCGAACGGGGAGCAGCCCAGAGUCUGAAUCAGCUUGUGUGUUAGUGGAACGGUCUGGAAAGUCCGACGGUACAGGGUGAUAGUCCCGUACACCAAAAUGCACAGGCUGUGAACUCGAAGAGUAGGGCGGGACACGUGGUAUCCUGUCUGAAUAUGGGGGACCAUCCUCCAAGGCUAAAUACUCCUGACUGACCGAUAGUGAACCAGUACCGUGAGGGAAAGGCGAAAAGAACCCCGGCGAGGGGAGUGAAAAAGAACCUGAAACCGUGUACGUACAAGCAGUGGGAGCACCUUCGGGUGUGACUGCGUACCUUUGUAUAAUGGGUCAGCGACUUAUAUUCUGUAGCAAGGUUAACCGUAUAGGGGGAGCCGCAGGGAAACCGAGUCUUAACUGGGCGUUAAGUUGCAGGGUAUAGACCCGAAACCCGGUGAUCUAGCCAUGGGCAGGUUGAAGGUUGGGUAACACUAACUGGAGGACCGAACCGACUAAUGUUGAAAAAUUAGCGGAUGACUUGUGGCUGGGGUGAAAGGCCAAUCAAACCGGGAGAUAGCUGGUUCUCCCCGAAAGCUAUUUAGGUAGCGCCUCGUGAACUCAUCUUCGGGGUAGAGCACUGUUUCGGCUAGGGGUCAUCCCGACUUACCAACCCGAUGCAAACUACGAAUACCGAAGAAUGUUAUCACGGGAGACACACGGCGGGUGCUAACGUCCGUCGUGAAGAGGAAACAACCCAGACCGCCAGCUAAGGUCCCAAAGUCAUGGUUAAGUGGGAAACGAUGUGGGAAGGCACAGACAGCCGGGAUGUUGGCUUAGAAGCAGCCAUCAUUUAAAGAAAGCGUAAUAGCUCACUGGUCGAGUCGGCCUGCGCGGAAGAUGUAACGGGGCUAAACCAUGCACCGAAGCUGCGGCAGCGACACUAUGUGUUGUUGGGUAGGGAGCGUUCUGUAAGCCUGCGAAGGUGUGCUGUGAGGCAUGCUGGAGGUAUCAGAAGUGCGAAUGCUGACAUAAGUAACGAUAAAGCGGGUGAAAAGCCCGCUCGCCGGAAGACCAAGGGUUCCUGUCCAACGUUAAUCGGGGCAGGGUGAGUCGACCCCUAAGGCGAGGCCGAAAGGCGUAGUCGAUGGGAAACAGGUUAAUAUUCCUGUACUUGGUGUUACUGCGAAGGGGGGGGACGGAGAAGGCUAUGUUAGCCGGGCGACGGUUGUCCCGGUUUAAGCAUGUAGGCUGAUUGUCCGAGGCAAAUCCGGAUAAUCAAGGCUGAGGUGUGAUGACGAGGCACUACGGUGCUGAAGUAACAAAUGCCCUGCUUCCGAGGAAAAGCCUCUAAGCAUCAGGUAACAUCAAAUCGUACCCCAAACCGACACAGGUGGUCAGGUAGAGAAUACCAAGGCGCUUGAGAGAACUCGGGUGAAGGAACUAGGCAAAAUGGUGCCGUAACUUCGGGAGAAGGCACGCUGGUGUGUAGGUGAAGUCCCUGCGGAUGGAGCUGAGACCAGUCGAAGAUACCAGCUGGCUGCAACUGUUUAUUAAAAACACAGCACUGUGCAAACACGAAAGUGGACGUAUACGGUGUGACGCCUGCCCGGUGCCGGAAGGUUAAUUGAUGGGGUUAUCCGUAAGGAGAAGCUCUUGAUCGAAGCCCCGGUAAACGGCGGCCGUAACUAUAACGGUCCUAAGGUAGCGAAAUUCCUUGUCGGGUAAGUUCCGACCUGCACGAAUGGCGUAAUGAUGGCCGGGCUGUCUCCACCCGAGACUCAGUGAAAUUGAACUCGCUGUGAAGAUGCAGUGUACCCGCGGCAAGACGGAAAGACCCCGUGAACCUUUACUAUAGCUUGACACUGAACAUUGAGCCUUGAUGUGUAGGAUAGGUGGGAGGCUUUGAAGCGUGGACGCCAGUCUGCGUGGAGCCAACCUUGAAAUACCACCCUUUAAUGUUUGAUGUUCUAACGUUGGCCCCUGACCGGGGUUGCGGACAGUGUCUGGUGGGUAGUUUGACUGGGGCGGUCUCCUCCCAAAGCGUAACGGAGGAGCACGAAGGUUAGCUAAUCCCCGGUCGGACAUCAGGAGGUUAGUGCAAUGGCAUAAGCUAGCUUGACUGCGAGCGUGACGGCGCGAGCAGGUGCGAAAGCAGGUCAUAGUGAUCCGGUGGUUCUGAAUGGAAGGGCCAUCGCUCAACGGAUAAAAGGUACUCCGGGGAUAACAGGCUGAUACCGCCCAAGAGUUCAUAUCGACGGCGGUGUUUGGCACCUCGAUGUCGGCUCAUCACAUCCUGGGGCUGAAGUAGGUCCCAAGGGUAUGGCUGUUCGCCAUUUAAAGUGGUACGCGAGCUGGGUUUAGAACGUCGUGAGACAGUUCGGUCCCUAUCUGCCGUGGGCGCUGGAGAAUUGAGGGGGCUGCUCCUAGUACGAGAGGACCGGAGUGGACGCAUCACUGGUGUUCGGGUUGUCAUGCCAAUGGCACUGCCCGGUAGCUAAAUGCGGAAGAGAUAAGUGCUGAAAGCAUCUAAGCACGAAACUUGCCCCGAGAUGAGUUCUCCCUGAGACUUUAAGUCUCCUGAAGGAACGUUAAAGACGAUGACGUUGAUAGGCCGGGUGUGUAAGCGCAGCGAUGCGUUGAGCUAACCGGUACUAAUGAACCGUGAGGCUUAACCUU